GAUGAACGCUGGCGGCGUGCCUAAUACAUGCAAGUCGAGCGAAUGGAUUAAGAGCUUGCUCUUAUGAAGUUAGCGGCGGAUGGGUGAGUAACACGUGGGUAACCUGCCCAUAAGACUGGGAUAACUCCGGGAAACCGGGGCUAAUACCGGAUAACAUUUUGAGCCGCAUGGUUCGAAAUUGAAAGGCGGCUUCGGCUGUCACUUAUGGAUGGACCCGCGUCGCAUUAGCUAGUUGGGGAGGUAACGGCUCACCAAGGCAACGAUGCGUAGCCGGUAUGGGGGGGUGAUCGGCCACACUGGGACUGGGACACGGCCCAGACUCCUACGGGAGGCAGCAGGAGGGAAUGUUCCGCAAUGGACGAAAGUCUGACGGAGCAACGCCGCGUGAGUGAUGAAGGCUUUCGGGUCGUAAAACGCUGUUGUUAGGGAAGAACAAGUGCUAGUUGAAUAAGCUGGCACCUUGACGGUACCUAGCCAGAAAGCCACGGCUAACUACGUGCCAGCCGCCGCUGUAA
rnacentral:rRNA from 1 species